AUUGAACGCUGGCGGCAUGCCUUACACAUGCAAGUCGAACGGUAACAGGUUAAGCUGACGAGUGGCGAACGGGUGAGUAAUGUAUCGGAACGUGCCCAGUCGUGGGGGAUAACUGCUCGAAAGAGCAGCUAAUACCGCAUACGACCUGAGGGUGAAAGCGGGGGAUCGCAAGACCUCGCGCGAUUGGAGCGGCCGAUAUCAGAUUAGGUAGUUGGUGAGGUAAAGGCUCACCAAGCCGUCGAUCUGUAGCUGGUCUGAGAGGACGACCAGCCACACUGGGACUGAGACACGGCCCAGACUCCUACGGGAGGCAGCAGUGGGGAAUUUUGGACAAUGGGCGCAAGCCUGAUCCAGCCAUGCCGCGUGCGGGAAGAAGGCCUUCGGGUUGUAAACCGCUUUUGUCAGGGAAGAAAAGGUUCUGGCUAAUACCUGGGACUCAUGACGGUACCUGAAGAAUAAGCACCGGCUAACUACGUG
rnacentral:rRNA from 1 species